GUGGAUAUUGCCCGUCCGCCUGCCACUAACGCUGUACUUUAACCUCAUAGUCAUUGUAUCAUUUAGCUCUGGGGUACAGAUACUUUUGGAGCUUGUUUAAUCUGGGACACCCAGAACUAAAAUCUUGUGUAAUUGCAUCAGAUGCUUGUUUAAAUUCUGUAAGGAGACGUGUUAGAUAAUGUUCAAUGUCUCCCCCACUCUAAACGGAAACUGACAGCAGGUUUCGCGCAAGUCUAUGGGCCAAAUGUCCCAAUAUGCGAGCACCUACGAAAUUGUGAUUUGUCCAAAUGAUCAGGGACAAAAAAUCUGUAUAGUCGUUGCAUCCCACUCUGUCGCCAGAUGCUACUGCCGUUUAUGUUAUGUGCAUCUGUCCAUGAGAGAUUAGGGUUGUUAGAGUAGGUAAAGUAAGACUGGACAGGUUGGGCCUUAAACAGUGAAGGGUGUUCGGUGUGGGGUAAAAAGUAGAGAGACACACAUACUCACUAAUAAUUACUUAAAAAUCCAACCAUAGAAGUUGAAUUAGAACACAUCUUUCUGACUCCAAUAUUGUAAAAGACAGGAUGGCGGUCAGGAUUGUAACAUGAUUUUAUUCUCAGUUUAUAUCAAAUUAAGUUACAUUUUCUCAGUUUACACAAUGCCUGGCAUUUGACAACUUUUUAACAUUGCAUGGUCACUAAAAUAUUUAAAAAAAAAUAUUAAAUCAUGUUAAACACAUAUUACAUUACAGGUUUGAUAAAUAUUAUACAUUAAAAAAAAAGACUUUCAAGCACAGCCCUUGUGGAAUACAAUGGGGAGGGGAGGAGAAGGAAGGAACGUUAAGAGGUGAGUGGAGGCAUGGGUUUGGAGAACAGGGGAAAGGAGAGGUGGGGAAAGAGGAGAGAGGAGGAAAGGAACAGGGAGUGGAGGCAGAGGGUAGGAGAACAGGGGAAAGGAGAGGUGGGGAAAGAGGAGAGAGGAGGAAAGGAACAGGGAGUGGAGGCAGAGGGUAGGAGAAUGGGAAAGGAGAGGUGGGGAAAGAGGAGAGCGGAGGAAAGGAACAGGGAGUGGAGGCAGAGGGUAGGAGAACAGGGGAAAGGAGAGGUGGGGAAAGAGGAGAGAGGAGGAAAGGAACAGGGAGUGGAGGCAGAGGGUAGGAGAACAAGGGAUAAGAGAGGUGGGGAAAGAGGAGAGAAGAGGAAAGGAACAGGGAGUGGAGGCAGAGGGUAUGAGAACGGGAAAGGAGAGGUGGGGAAAGAGGAGAGCGGAGGAAAGGAACAGGGAGUGGAGGCCGAGGGUAGAAGAACAGGGGAAAGGAGAGGUGGGGAAAGAGGAGAGAGGAGGAAAGGAACAGGGAGUGGAGGCAGAGGGUAGGAGAACAGGGGAAUGGAGGGGGAGGAAAGAGGAGAGAGGAGGAAAGGAACAGGGAGUGGAGGCAGAGGGUAGGAGAACAGGGGAAAGGAGAGGUGGGGAAAGAGGAGAGCGGAGGAAAGGAACAGGGAGUGGAGGCAGAGGGUAGGAGAACAGGGGAAUGGAGGGGGAGGAAAGAGGAGAGAGGAGGAAAGGAACAGGGAGUGGAGGCAGAGGGUAGGAGAACAGGGGAAAGGAGAGGUGGGGAAAGAGGAGAGCGGAGGAAAGGAACAGGGAGUGGAGGCAGAGGGUAGGAGAACAGGGGAAAGGAGAGGUGGGGAAAGAGGAGAGCGGAGGAAAGGAACAGGGAGUGGAGGCAGAGGGUAUGAGAACGGGAAAGGAGAGGUGGGGAAAGAGGAGAGCGGAGGAAAGGAACAGGGAGUGGAGGCAGAGGGUAGGAGAACAGGGGAAAGGAGAGGUGGGGAAAGAGGAGAGAGGAGGAAAGGAACAGGGAGUGGAGGCAGAGGGUAUGAGAACGGGAAAGGAGAGGUGGGGAAAGAGGAGAGCGGAGGAAAGGAACAGGGAGUGGAGGCAGAGGGUAGGAGAACAGGGGAAAGGAGAGGUGGAGAAAGAGGAGAGAGGAGGAAAGGAACAGGGAGUGGAGGCAGAGGGUAGGAGAACAGGGGAAUGGAGGGGGAGGAAAGAGGAGAGAGGAGGAAAGAAACAGGGAGUGGAGGCAGAGGGUAGGAGAACAGGGGAAAGGAGAGGUGGGGAAAGAGGAGAGCGGAGGAAAGGAACAGGGAGUGGAGGCAGAGGGUAGGAGAACAGGGGAAUGGAGGGGGAGGAAAGAGGAGAGAGGAGGGAAGGAACAGGGAGUGGAGGCAGAGGGUAGGAGAACAGGGGAAAGGAGAGGUGGGGAAAGAGGAGAGCGGAGGAAAGGAACAGGGAGUGUAGGCAGAGGGUAGGAGAACAGGGGAAAUGAGAGGUGGGGAAAGAGGAGAGCGGAGGAAAGGAACAGGGAGUGGAGGCAGAGGGUAGGAGAACAAGGGAAAAGAGAGGUGGGGAAAGAGGAGAGAGGAGGAAAGGAACAGGGAGUGGAGGCAGAGGGUAGGAGAACAGGGGAAAGGAGGGGGAGGAAAGAGGAGAGAGGAGGAAAGGAACAGGGAGUGGAGGCAGAGGGUAGGAGAACAGGGGAAAGGAGAGGUGGGGAAAGAGGAGAGCGGAGGAAAGGAACAGGGAGUGGAGGCAGAGGGUAGGAGAACAGGGGAAAGGACGGGGGAGGGAAGAGGAGGAAAAAAACAGGGAGUGGAGGCAGAGGGUAGGAGAACAGGGGAAAGGAGGAGGGAGGAAAGAGGAGAGAGGAGGAAAGGAACAGGGAGUGGAGGCAGAGGGUAGGAGAACAAGGGAAAAGAGAGGUGGGGAAAGAGGAGAGAGGAGGAAAGGAACAGGGAGUGGAGGCAGAGGGUAGGAGAACAAGGGAAAGGAGGGGGAAGGAAAGAGGAGGAAAGGAACAGGGAGUGGAGGCAGAGGGUAGGAGAACAGGGGAAAGGAGGGGGAGGAAAGAGGAGGGGAGAAGAGCGGAUGAAAGGGGGGGAGGGUGGUCUGUAAAGAUUCCACUGCUGGAAUGGUCUGGAAGGUAUACAGGCAGACAGGAAGUGAGGGAGGAAGUGGAAAUGGCUCCCUGUCUCAUUGUGAACCUCAGUAGAAGGAUUACUUCCUAUAGUAAAGAGACUGGACUCAAGCUGUGUCUAACCUGAAGGCUAACUCAGGGCUAACUCCAUUUAUCCUGAAUGAAGUGUCUGAGCCAUGAAGACCAAUGAAAUCAGAUACCCUCCCUUUCGCAAAGAUUGUGUCAUUAUCCCCUUCACUUGAGGAAGACAAUUGGUUAAAUAUUAUAUUAAUAAAAUGUUGUAUUGUGUGUAAAUAUAUAUUUUUUUAACACCUAUGACGACACAUUUAGUAAUGAUAGUACUUGCUUUCCAAACUGUAUGUUUUUUGUGCAAUUGUAUUUUGAAAUGUGCGAAAGGCAACCAACUAUAGACAUAAUCCAUAGAUGGCAGUUCCCAUUCAAGUGAAGACGGGCAGCUGUUGCUAGUGUAUGUAGCCUCUGUCGAGUCCCCAACAACUGGAUGUUCUGGUUUUCAGGGGAAAUGGAAAGAGAGCCUGUGGCGCAACUUCCGCUUUCAGACAUUAGUAACAGCACGACACCCCAUCUUAACACCUCCUCCACAUUUACUGGAUUGGUUGAAAGGUGCAGAAAAGGACAGUUUAUUGUCUUCUUGUCGAGACCAGUAUGUAGGGGAUCUAGUUUCAGGUGUUUCUUUUACGCCUGCUGUGUUAGGUUACCAUGAGUGUAACAGUCAAAUUGCCAGGGUUAGAGGUUCCAAAACCCUACUAUAGAUUAUAUGUCUAUGGCCGCAACGCAACAAGCUGUUCUACAGAUAGAAGGUGCUCGUGGAUUGAUGAGCACACAAAAGCACAACAAAAGUAGCAUUAACGAUAAGUAAUAAAAUAAAGAUGGCACUUCUAAAAGCCUAUUUCACACCAUAGCCUGCUGAAUUUGCAAGAUAGUUUUUUAAUUUCAUUUCGAUUUCGGCACAAAUAAAAAUGUGGCACUGAUUCCCCCAUAGAUUGAUGUUUCAGCAUUGUCUCAAUGAAGUGUUUGGCACUCGACUAGUCAUGUGCGACAUGCACGCGCAGUAACCAGCCUGCAAGAGUUAGCGGCAGGCGGACGAGCAAUAUCCACCAUAGUAGUACGAGCCUGAUCUGGAAUGUGAAGCUAACUGAAGUAGGCUAGCUUUAUAAAAGCCUGAUUUGGAAUGUGAAGCUAACCGAAGCUGGCUAGCUUUAUAAAAGCCUGAUCUGGAAUGUGAAGCUAACUGAAGUAGGCUAGCUUUAUAAAAGCCUGAUCUGGAAUGUGAAGCUAACUGAAGCUGGCUAGCUUUAUAAAAGCCUGAUCUGGAAUGUGAAGCUAACUGAAGCUGGCUAGCUUUAUAAAAGCCUGAUCUGGAAUGUGAAGCUAACGGAAGCUGGCUAGCUUUAUAAAAGCCUGAUCUGGAAUGUGAAGGUAACUGAAGCUGGCUAGCGUCAUAAAAGCCUGAGUAGAUCCAGCUUGUUUCGUAGUAUACAACUCAGGAGGGGAUAUGAUAUAAGGGAAGAUAUGAAGGAAGAUCAGCGGUCGUGGAAGAAAGGAAAAAAGGUUUCACAACUUUUGGGACACAAACUCUCAGCCUCCCAGCUUCAUCUGUGACCUCUAACCUCUGGCCUGAACAGAGGCAGUCAGCGUCAACACACAGGAAACAUUUUUGAUUUACAAACAAACAAAUAUUAAAGGCUCUUUUCUGGGAAGUGAAAGAGGCAUGGCUCAUCAUGAUAUUUCUCAAUAUGCUUUACAUAUGCUUUAGUUGGGUUUCUACUGAGCUCUAAUGCUGGAAUAAGAGGAAAAGAGACGAGGGUCAAGGGGUGGGAAGAGAAAGUAGGCGCCACCAUUACAGACCAAUCAGUCUCUGGUAAAGCCGUUGAGUGACACUGCUCUGGCCUAUCAGAACUGCCCAAGUGUCCAUGAUAACAGACCACUGUAAUUCGUCAUUUGCAGAGUGCAGUUGCCCCUCCCUCUUCCCAAUAGUAAGGCUCGUCGGUCACUGGGGGAAAAGAGAAUACUGUUCUCCUGUCAUAUUUACAUGUAACUGAAUUAUUCUACCAUAGUCAUGUACAUUCCUAUUAUUUCCAUUGUUGUAGUAAGUAAGUUUUUCAGUUUCAACUGCCCACCCCCUUCUGUCUCUUCAUCUAGCUAGCCACCCUUCUUUCCUCUCUCUUUUUACACCUCCUCUCUCUCCCUCUGUCCCACUGCCCCCCCCAGUAGCCUACAGGACCUCUUGCUGGUGGUGUGCUGGGGGUUGAGGAAGGCUCGGACGGCCUCAGCGAACACCUCUUUGAUCCCAUCCUGGUUGAGGGCGGAACACUCCAGGUAGCGGGCGGCUUGGAUCUGACGGGCUAGUCCCGCCCCCUGGUGAUGAGUGACAGGAGAUUGGCUCUGCUCCUUCAGCUUGCGCUGGGUCUCCUCGUCGUUACGCAGGUCGCUCUUAGUGCCUACCAGGAGGACAGGCACACCGGGGCAGUGGAAGCGGGGCUGGAGAUGGAGAAGCAGAUGAUGAAGAUGUUGGUCUGAGGGUAGGACAGGGUCCUCAGGCGGUCGUACUCCUCCUGACCCGCCGUGUCCCACAGGUUCAGACUGAUGGAGCGCCCGUCUACUGUCACCUAAAACACACACAGGGAUGUUUAGAUACAGUGACUCCACCCAGACUCCAGGGAAACAGGCA
rnacentral:lncRNA from 1 species